AAGCGUGCGCAGGCGGUUAUAUAAGACAGAUGUGAAAUCCCCGGGCUCAACCUGGGAACUGCAUUUGUGACUGUAUAGCUGGAGUGCGGCAGGAGGGGGAUGGAAUUCCGCGUGUAGCAGUGAAAUGCGUAGAUAUGCGGAGGAACACCGAUGGCGAAGGCAAUCCCCUGGACCUGUACUGACGCUCAUGCACGAAAGCGUGGGGAGCAAACAGGAUUAGAUACCCGUGU
rnacentral:rRNA from 1 species